rnacentral:rRNA from 1 species
CGGCCUACGGGGCGCAGCAGUGAGGAAUAUUGGUCAAUGGUCGGGAGACUGAACCAGCCAAGCCGGGUGAGGGAUGAAGGUACAGAGUAUCGUAAACCUCUUUUGUCAGGGAACAAAGGCGGGGACAUGUCCCCGGAUGAGUGUACCUGAAGAAAAAGCAUCGGCCAACUCCGUGCCAGCAGCCGCGGUAAUACGGAGGAUGCGAGCGUUAUCCGGAUUUAUUGGGUUUGAAGGGUGCGCAGGCGGUCUGUUAAGUCAGCGGUCAAAGCCCGGGGCUCAACCCCGGCCCGCCUGUGAAACUGGCG